UACAACAAAUAUCUACAAUUUUCAAAUUGUCUACUAGCUUGUCAGGACGUCUGUUUUACUUUAUAAAUCUGUGCAUAAUACUAAAAAUUGUAUGCAAUUAAAGAUGCUCGCACGUUGUCCGAAGAUUGUAAUGCAAUUAAUAUAAGAAUCGAUAUCGUGGAAUAGAAAUCUUGACUGAGUGACGCGACGGGAUUAAUUACGGCGAAUUGCAUCUCGAACAGCAGCCAGGCGGGAGUUUAUCGAUACUGGUUGGGACGAUAAAUCAAGCAAGAGAGCCCGCAUGUGAACCCGCGGGAACGCGGACAGAUCUUUCGGUGGCGAACGGAGUGCGCUCACCAGAUAAGAAUAAUCGCGUCGGAAACGUGGACGUCGUGCGAUACUACCGCCUGUUAAAUUUUCCUAUUGGUAUAUAACAGUUACAUAAAUAGUGCUUUGUGAAGAAACUCCGAUGCUUACAGUACAACAGCAUCUCCACACGGAAGCUCAUACUCGUAGUUCUGAACGGGAUAUUGCAGUCGAAUUGAAUGAUACUCGAGAAGCUCGCCGAGCGAAAAGCAAGGGAUCUACCGAUGGAUGAGGAGGAAGCAUUAACGCGCUGCUCGCGAGUGUUAAUGCUAAUGGAGAAGAUGAAGAAAAAGGAAACGGCGUGUUGGAGAAGAAGUAGAAGAAGCCGAGGCAUGAAGGUGCUCAGUUUCUAAAUAAAGGCGCUUAAUGAAGUCUCCGGCGAAGAAGGACAUCGAAGCGAGAACGGGAACUUUCGAUCCUACGCUGCAACGGGAAUAAAUCGGAAUUUAAAAGCGAUGAAACUUCCAACGGAAAGCUCUUAAGCUUAGAAUAACUAACGAACGUUUAAAAUCGAGUGGCUUUCAAGAGAGAGGACGGUGUUGCUUCGUCGUGUCGCGUCACUUUCUGGCGUUGUUCGUCAUCGAUUUCCUAUGAAACCGGCGAGAACACAAAUCCACUUUCAAUAAAUAUGUUUCCCAAGA